UACGUAGGGGGCAAGCGUUGUCCGGAUUAUUGGGCGUAAAGAGCGUGUAGGCGGCCUGAAAGGUCAGCUGUGAAAACUCGAGGCUCAACCUCGAGACGUCGGUUGAAACCAUCUGGCUAGAGUCCGGAAGAGGAGUGUGGAAUUCCCCGGUGUAGCGGUGAAAUGCGCAGAUAUCGGGAAGAACACCCGUGGCGAAGGCGGCACUCUGGGACGGUACUGACGCUGAGACGCGAAAGCGUGGGGAGCGAACAGG
rnacentral:rRNA from 1 species